rnacentral:lncRNA from 1 species
GUUUUGCUUUUCUUGUAGCUUAUGAGACACAAACCGUUUUAUUUUAAAUAGAUUUUAAUUUUGAAAUUCAAAUGUGGUCACUAAAGGAAAUCCAGAGAUUUUUAAAAAAGUAAAAUGAUGGUUACAGAAAGUAUUUCCUAGUUGAAGGCAGAACAAAGUAAAAUGGAAAAAGAACUACAACUCAUGAAUCUGGAUUUGAGACCUUCUCUCACCAGCUCUGCCACAAGGGGCUCCUGCCUUAACCUCUCUCCGGGCUUUCUGGGUCGAAAGAUGAGGAUGGCAACACUUUCUAGCCCUCCUUCUGGCCUGGCAAUGCUGUUUGUUAGAGAAAAAUGGAAUUUGAAAGUGACUUGAAAUCUGGAAGGGACUGUAAAACACGAGGGGAUGUGCCACCCACUGGGUCCACAGGCUGGAAGUCAGCAGCAUUUCUGAAGGCUGAGCAACACCAGGCAGCCUUUGUACAGCAAGACCAUUAACAAGUGCUGUUUCCUCCCACCUUGCGUCUAUUGGCAAGAGGCUGAAAGACCAAACCCAGGGUACGGAGUUUGGAGUUUGGUUCCUGCUAGGAGGAGACUAGAGCCCCUUGUCUCCUGCCCUGCCCUCAAGAAUUCCAAGUGUCCAGGAAGGGGUCACCCAAAGAAAAAGAAAGUCUCCCUCUAGGACCGCGGCUGCAGCGAGAGGAAGGAGCCGCCUGGCCUUUGGCAUUGGAGCCCGAACUUCAGCCUCCCGCCACGCGGUGUCCAGGAGGCCGCGGGCAGCCACGCGCGCCACGAGUGGGCGCCCCGUCCUGCUGCUGCCCGUCCGCCUCGAGCUCCCGAGCUCCCGAGCCCCAGCCCGGGAGGAGUCGCCUUGCUGCACCCUGGGACCGGCGGAAACUCUGGCACUCUCCCGAGUGAGGGGCAGCCUCGCCUUUUGCUGGACGCUGGAUUUCAGACGCAUGAAUCCCUGGCCGCCUGGCCUUUCCGGCUG